GACGACCCUGAAGGCCACUGGAGUUAAAAAACGACAUCAAAUAUUAAAGAGGACACUUUGUUGUCUCAAAGUUUGUCCAUGAUAAACUAUUGAAGCUUCGGUCCAUCUGCGCAAUCGUCGUCAUUUUGCUAUUUUUUUAGAAAAAGUCGAGGAUCCCUCAACGCUAACGGCAGAAAAAUAAAACAUUUAGGAAAACAGUGGACGUGAACAAUCAGAAAAAGUUUACCUUUUGCUGGUGACCACCAAGGGAAAAGAAAAAAAAAGAGAUCCGGACGUGUGAGGAGAAAACAAAAGCCGAGCAGCUGAUGCUGAUGGCACCAAAUCAAGUCAGCAGACUUUCCUCAAUCAAAUCAAUGGACUUCUUGCAGCCGGCGGAACAAUAGCGUCAUCGUGUGGCCUAAACUAGCACCAACACGAGUUCGUUCGUCGGACCUUACGCGGAAAAAUCAAACUUUUGAAAAUGCAGUAUAUCAAAUUUUUAACGUAUAUAUAUUGAAAUGUACUUUAAAAAGCUUUGUUUUAAAUUAUUUUAAAUUAUCUUUUUUAAAUUGCAAAACGUGGUUGUGACGUCACAUUUGCGCGACUCUUUCUGUAUAAAAAUCUCCGCCGUAGCAUUUUCGGUCUUUUCCACUCUGGUUUAUUGAGCUGUGUGAGUCUCUGAGUUGUUCGCCCUUUCGACUUCGAAUCCGAAUAAUCUUAAUCCAACCAAAAUGUUCGGCAUUCAUCUCAAUAGGAUGCUGAAUUUUAAUGUUCAACUUUGCUCGCCGAAAUUUAACAUUUUCGUGACCACGUGUAGUCAACGAGGGACCACGUGACUAAUGAUGUUGGCCGAUUCUCAAUCAUGUUUUUGAUGAUGUCAGAUGGACGACCCCCAACGUCCUGAUAGAAUCUUAUGAGGUUCUCACCUCAAUGGCAAGAUAACCUGAAGAUUUGGAGGUGAUCUCCAAAGAAGUGCAAAUUUACUCUGGAAAAACUGCAGAUUUGAAUUUCCUCAUGUUUUGCUGAGUUCCCCUAUAACGGAUUCCAAGGAUGAACUGUGAUCACGGUGGACAUUUUAAGUCAAGGGGAGCUUUUUUUUGUGUUAGAGCGUGAGUCGUACUGAAUAAAUAUUUGUGGAAACCAAUUUUUUUCUUUUGUCUUAACAUGACUUUCCUAUUUAAAAAUGUUUUGAUGAAGCUUGCAUGAUCACAACGUUGCAUACUUGACGGUGAUUUCUGUGAAGUUGACCCCCCCAUCAGAUACAAAUUUAUAGUGUCUCAUUUUUGAGAUAUUAACUAUUUUACCGGUCAAUCUGAGGUCAACCAGUCCACUUUGUUUACAAAUAGCGAAAAAUUGUCAGUCGUUUGUGCUGCAAUCUUUGGAAUCUUAAUUUCAAGUGAUUCAACACAGCCAAUUUAUUGCAAAAUGAACCUGAAAUGGUGCCAUUCGUUUGUACUGCGUUUGUGCUGUAAAUUUUGUGCUAUUAAAUAUUGAUAUUUUGAGUGACAUCAAUUGCGGCACCUCCGUAGCAGUUGAUAAAGCGUACCAACUCAAUAACUUGUCCCAACAACUAGCGCAAAUGUAGCGCAAACGAACGGCACGCA